UGAACAAGCUCUACUUGGAGAUAGUUGGG
rnacentral:piRNA from 1 species